AGACUCUCCUCAGAUCGAUAAGGCUUUUUCUAAGUACACCACGCCAGGAUUUCCCUCAGCAAUUAGGCCUGUAUGAGUUUCCUUCUCUGGAAAUAAAUAGAUCACUUGCAAAUGGCAUCUCUGUUGACAUACAGCAGAUUCUAAACAGAAGGACUCAAGCCAGUAUCUCUGGAAAGCAUGCUCAGAUUUCACUCGCAGUGAUGCUUGAUAAAUGAAUACAAGAAAGCUACAAGUCCGCUUAUCACCUGAGACGUGAGAAGAGCUCAGUGAAACUCUCUAACAUGCAAUGACAGAUCAGUUCCUCAUACUUGUAGCACUGGGCUACAAAGAGGCACAAGAAGAGGGAAGCAGAAAGAUUGUAAGAGCCAGAGGAACAGGAAUCUUGCUAUGAGGCUGUGUCUCCCUGAAGUUUUGGAGAACAUACACCCAUCAAGUCUUACCAACAAGACUGCCACAAUCUGACCUGAACAAGGACAUCAAAA